rnacentral:tRNA from 1 species
GACGCGGCGGCCUAAUGGUUAGCGCGUUGGACUCCGGAUCGAGCGGUCCUGGUUCGAGCACUGGCUGGGUUCG